rnacentral:rRNA from 1 species
UACGUAGGUGGCAAGCGUUAUCCGGAUUUACUGGGUGUAAAGGGAGCGUAGACGGCCAGACAAGUCUGAAGUGAAAAUCCAGCGCUUAACGUUGGAAGUGCUUUGGAAACUGCCGGGCUGGAGUGCAGGAGGGGCAGGCGGAAUUCCUAGUGUAGCGGUGAAAUGCGUAGAUAUUAGGAGGAACACCAGUGGCGAAGGCGGCCUGCUGGACUGCAACUGACGUUGAGGCUCGAAGGCGUGGGGAGCAAACAGG